rnacentral:lncRNA from 1 species
CUCUGUCCAGAGGUAUGAUGGCUUCAUUACCUGAGAUAGUUUUGAUUUGCCCAGAGCAAAACAGUUGCCCAAGACUACUCCGUGGAGUAGCGCCUUUGGUCGGAAGCUUCAAGGAAGAGCUUGCUCAGGGAGGCCCCAACCAAGGGAGAAUUGGAGAACUGACAAUUCCUCAGUCCAUCCUAAGGACAGAUUUAGAUUGUGUCAUGACUGCACAGUGGGUUUUGGGAAGAAGGGAAGCUGAGCUCACAGUAAGAGAUCAGCUGUGUUUGAGCACACCAUCGUCAUUACAGACAAAGGAGCAGAAAUCCUGACCCUCCUGGCUGAGGAAACUUAAGAGCUACCAGCUGGCAAAAGAACCUUUUUCCUGUGGUGCUCCCGGGAGAAGCUGGCACGAAGGGCUGUAUCAAAACCCAUUUAUUUAUUUAGGGGAACAGCUUUCUUGUAUGAUCCUCAAAGGACACUGAUGUAAACUGGAUAAUCUUUGAACAAAGCAUGUAACCUCUUCUACUCCACAACUAUGAAAAAUAUAAUCCCCCCUUUCCUAAAAAAAAAAAAAAAAAAANAAAAAAAAAAAAAAGUGAGGAUGUGUCUCUCUCCCCCCCUCCCCAUUUUUUUGAGGCGGGGGGGGUUCUUAUGCUUUGUGUCAAGGCUGUUCCUAGUCCCUGUGGCAAUGCCCACAUGUUUACAUAGCCAAAUGGGCUUUUUCAAAGACAUGCAAACAACAGCAAAGCAAAGAGGCAAACUUUAUUUCUUGUGGCUUUGCGGCCACUUAUAUUUUUAGCAACCAUUCAGCUCUCUGUAUAUCAGAACCUUUAGACCAAACGAGCCUCCUUUACUAAAAAAAGGGGGGAAAGUGGUUUUUACUGUAUUACUUGUUAGUUACUCUGAGGAUGACAUGAUUCCUUGAGGAAGAGGAUCUUACCUAAACUGGUGUGCCUUUUCCCAGGACGCCAGCCUGACCUCACACCUUUACUGCAGAGGGAUUGUUUGAUCUGGGUCUUCUUUGGUGCCCCAAAUCCCAAGCCAAAUCUCUGAAGGAAAGGAGAAGUCUGGAUGCCUGGCAAUUGAAGACAUUCCUUGGAGUGCCCAGAAGAAGGGCUGCCUCUCUGACUUUCAUCCAUUCUCCCUUCUGCCUGCAAAGAAGCAGCGCGGCGGUGGCUUCUGCUAGUUGGGAGACGCUGGUUACCCUGUUUAUUAAAUAAAGGCCUUCUCGGG